GGAAUCUUGCGCAAUGGGCGAAAGCCUGACGCAGCAACGCCGCGUGCGGGAAGAAGGCUUUCGGGCUGUAAACCGCUUUCAGUAGGAACGAAACUGACGGUACCUACAGAAGAAGGAGCGGCCAACUAUGUGCCAGCAGCCGCGGUGACACAUAGGCUCCAAGCGUUGUCCGGAUUUAUUGGGCGUAAAGAGCUCGUAGGCGGUUGAGUAAGUCGGGUGUGAAAACUUUGGGCUUAACCCAAAGAUGCCACUCGAUACUGCUUUGACUUGAGUUCGGUAGGGGAGUGGGGAAUUCCUUGUGUAGCGGUGAAAUGCGCAGAUAUAAGGAGGAACACCGGUGGCGAAGGCGCCACUCCGGGCCGAUACUGACGCUGAGGAGCGAAAGCGUGGGGAGCAAACAGGAUUAGAUACCCUGGUAGUCCACGCGGUAAACGGUGGUCACUAGGUGUGGGUCUCUUCAAACGAGAUCUGCGCCGUCGCUAACGCAUUAAGUGACCCGCCUGGGGAGUACGGUCGCAAGACUAAAACUCAAAUGAAUUGACGG
rnacentral:rRNA from 1 species